UUUAGUCCUGGCUCAGAACGAACGCUGGCGGCAGGCCUAACACAUGCAAGUCGAGGGUGAAGCUUUCUUCGGGAAGUGGAAACCGGCGGACGGGUGAGUAACGCGUGGGGAUCUGCCCAAAGGUACGGGAUAGCCUCGGGAAACUGGGAUUAAUACCGUAUGAAGCCUUCCACUGUUAGAAUUCAGUAAAAAUAUUGAAAUGAUUAGCGCGAGCGCGAUCGUUUGAGGACUUGUUCCGAAGACGUGAAUCGCCCGAGCAAAUUAACUUCAGUAUUUCAUACUGGAGUUUAGCAGUGAGAAAGUUAAAGAUUAUAUCGCCUUUGGAUGAACCCGCGUUAGAUUAGCUUGUUGGUGAGGUAAGA
rnacentral:rRNA from 1 species